AGCUUGCUCUUCUUGGAUGAGUUGCGAACGGGUGAGUAACGCGUAGGUAACCUGCCUUGUAGCGGGGGAUAACUAUUGGAAACGAUAGCUAAUACCGCAUAACAAUGGAUGACACAUGUCAUUUAUUUGAAAGGCGCAAUUGCUCCACUACAAGAUGGACCUGCGUUGUAUUAGCUAGUAGGUGAGGUAACGGCUCACCUAGGCGACGAUACAUAGCCGACCUGAGAGGGUGAUCGGCCACACUGGGACUGAGACACGGCCCAGACUCCUACGGGAGGCAGCAGUAGGGAAUCUUCGGCAAUGGGGGCAACCCCUGACCGAGCAACGCCGCGUGAGUGAAGAAAGGUUUUCCGGAUCGUAAAGCUCUGUUGUAAGUUCAAGAACGAAGUGUUAAAGUGGAAAGUUCACACUGUGACGGUAGCUUAACCAGAAAAGGGACGGCUUAACUACGUGCCAAGCAGCCGCGGUAAUACGUAGGUCCCGAGCGUUGUCCGGGAUUCAUUGGGCGUAAAGCGAGCGCAAGGCCGGUUUGAUAAGUCUGAAGUUAAAGGC
rnacentral:rRNA from 1 species